rnacentral:rRNA from 1 species
GCCUUGGCAGUCAGAGGCGAUGAAAGACGUGGUAGCCUGCGAAAAGCUUCGGGGAGUCGGCAAACAGACUUUGAUCCGGAGAUGUCUGAAUGGGGGAACCCAGCCAUCAUAAGAUGGUUAUCUUGUACUGAAUACAUAGGUGCAAGAGGCGAACCAGGGGAACUGAAACAUCUAAGUACCCUGAGGAAAAGAAAUCAACCGAGAUUCCCUUAGUAGUGGCGAGCGAACGGGGACUAGCCCUUAAGUGGCUUUGAGAUUAGCGGAACGCUCUGGAAAGUGCGGCCAUAGUGGGUGAUAGCCCUGUACGCGAAAAUCUCUUAGUCAUGAAAUCGAGUAGGACGGAGCACGAGAAACUUUGUCUGAAUAUGGGGGGACCAUCCUCCAAGGCUAAAUACUACUGACUGACCGAUAGUGAACUAGUACCGUGAGGGAAAGGCGAAAAGAACCCCGGAGAGGGGAGUGAAAUAGAUCCUGAAACCGUAUGCGUACAAGCAGUGGGAGCCCACUUUGUUGGGUGACUGCGUACCUUUUGUAUAAUGGGUCAGCGACUUAUUUUCAGUGGCGAGCUUAACCGAAUAGGGGAGGCGUAGCGAAAGCGAGUCUUAAUAGGGCGUCUAGUCGCUGGGAAUAGACCCGAAACCGGGCGAUCUAUCCAUGGGCAGGUUGAAGGUUGGGUAACACUAACUGGAGGACCGAACCGACUACCUUUGAAAAGUUAGCGGAUGACCUGUGGAUCGGAGUGAAAGGCUAAUCAAGCUCGGAGAUAGCUGGUUCUCCUCGAAAGCUAUUUAGGUAGCGCCUCAUGUAUCACUGUAGGGGGUAGAGCACUGUUUCGGCUAGGGGGUCAUCCCGACUUACCAAACCGAUGCAAACUCCGAAUACCUACAAGUGCCGAGCAUGGGAGACACACGGCGGGUGCUAACGUCCGUCGUGAAAAGGGAAACAACCCAGACCGUCAGCUAAGGUCCCAAAGUUAUGGUUAAGUGGGAAACGAUGUGGGAAGGCUUAGACAGCUAGGAGGUUGGCUUAGAAGCAGCCACCCUUUAAAGAAAGCGUAAUAGCUCACUAGUCGAGUCGGCCUGCGCGGAAGAUGUAACGGGGCUCAAACCAUACACCGAAGCUACGGGUAUCACGUAAGUGAUGCGGUAGAGGAGCGUUCUGUAAGCCUGUGAAGGUGAGUUGAGAAGCUUGCUGGAGGUAUCAGAAGUGCGAAUGCUGACAUGAGUAACGACAAUGGGUGUGAAAAACACCCACGCCGAAAGACCAAGGUUUCCUGCGCAACGUUAAUCGACGCAGGGUUAGUCGGUCCCUAAGGCGAGGCUGAAAAGCGUAGUCGAUGGAAAACAGGUUAAUAUUCCUGUACUUCUGGUUAUUGCGAUGGAGGGACGGAGAAGGCUAGGCCAGCUUGGCGUUGGUUGUCCAAGUUUAAGGUGGUAGGCUGGAAUCUUAGGUAAAUCCGGGAUUCUAAGGCCGAGAGCUGAUGACGAGUUACCUUUUAGGUAACGAAGUGGUUGAUGCCAUGCUUCCAAGAAAAGCUUCUAAGCUUCAGGUAACCAGGAACCGUACCCCAAACCGACACAGGUGGUUGGGUAGAGAAUACCAAGGCGCUUGAGAGAACUCGGGUGAAGGAACUAGGCAAAAUGGCACCGUAACUUCGGGAGAAGGUGCGCCGGUGAGGGUGAAGGACUUGCUCCGUAAGCUCAUGCCGGUCGAAGAUACCAGGCCGCUGCGACUGUUUAUUAAAAACACAGCACUCUGCAAACACGAAAGUGGACGUAUAGGGUGUGACGCCUGCCCGGUGCCGGAAGGUUAAUUGAUGGGGUUAGCUAACGCGAAGCUCUUGAUCGAAGCCCCGGUAAACGGCGGCCGUAACUAUAACGGUCCUAAGGUAGCGAAAUUCCUUGUCGGGUAAGUUCCGACCUGCACGAAUGGCGUAACGAUGGC